UUAAAGCUCAAAAAUACCGGGCAAGUAAACAAGCCAGAGUUAGAUGAGUUGAGUGAAGAACAAGCUAAAAAGUAACAUUAUAAACGGAGUAAACAACGUGAGUAGUAGGGCAAAUAUAGGUAAGCUGCUCUGCAUGCGCAGUUUACUCCUUUUUUUUUGUAGUAAGCCUUUUC
rnacentral:ribozyme from 13 species